GUUUCGGACAGGUAAUGGCGGACAUGCGAUAGUUCGGGCUGACUUAUAUUCCAACAUAGGAAGUGUUAUAAACAGCUGAUCGGAUCGGCAAAGCCUGUUUCUGGAAUAUUGUGUUUUUGUUGCUGCAAGUCUGGAAUAUUAUGUUUUUGUUGCUGGAAGUGCUUUUUAUGCAAUUUUUUGCAAAGCUAUAUGUGGAAGAAAACCGUGACCUAGGGCAAGCUAAUGGAAUAAGAUCGCUCAGAGCAAGUGACUGUGAUGGGCUGUCAAACCGCAUCUAAAGUACUCUACCAAAGAAUAAUAUCCACUCCUGACCUACUCUGAAGAAAAAUAUUUCAUUCGAUCAAUGUCGCAGUCUCCCCCGCAGGGGAAUUACUCUUGAACAAUAGGUGAACCCUAAGAAAAGAGCAACACUGGACCAUGUGAUACUUGACCUUCAAAGAAAGAACUCAGGUACACUCCAGA
ensembl:lncRNA